GACGAACGCUGACGGCGUGCUUAACACAUGCAAGUCGAACGGUGAAGCGCCUUCCUUUUUGGUGGGUGUGGAUGAGUGGCGAACGGGUGAGUAACACGUGAGUAGCCUGCCCCCUUCUUCUGGAUAACCGCAUGAAAGUGUGGCUAAUACGGGAUAUUCUGGGUCUGUCGCAUGAUGGGUCUGGGAAAGAUAUUGUUUCGGUGGGGGAUGGGCUCGCGGCCUAUCAGCUUGUUGGUGGGGUGAUGGCCUACCAAGGCGGUGACGGGUAGCCGGCCUGAGAGGGUGGACGGUCACACUGGGACUGAGACACGGCCCAGACUCCUACGGGAGGCAGCAGUGGGGAAUAUUGCACAAUGGGCGCAAGCCUGAUGCAGCGACGCCGCGUGAGGGAUGGAGGCCUUCGGGUUGUGAACCUCUUUCGCCAGUGAAGCAGGCCUGCCUCGUUUGUGGGUGGGUUGACGGUAGCUGGAUAAGAAGCGCCGGCUAACUACGUG
rnacentral:rRNA from 1 species